UACGUAGGGGGCAAGCGUUGUCCGGAAUCAUUGGGCGUAAAGCGCGUGUAGGCGGCUCGGUAAGUCUGCUGUGAAAGUCCAGGGCUCAACCCUGGGAUGCCGGUGGAUACUGUCGAGCUCGAGUCCGGAAGAGGCGAGUGGAAUUCCUGGUGUAGCGGUGAAAUGCGCAGAUAUCAGGAGGAACACCAAUGGCGAAGGCAGCUCGCUGGGACGUGACUGAUGCUGAGACGCGAAAGCGUGGGGAGCAAACAGG
rnacentral:rRNA from 1 species